rnacentral:tRNA from 1 species
GCCGGGGUGGCGGAAUUGGCAGACGCAACGGAUUCAAGACCCGUCGUCGCAAGACAUGAGAGUUCGAGUCUCUCCCCCGGCACCG